UUUACAAAUAGUUUCUUUAACACAAUGAAGACUUUUGUCGCCACCAGAUGACAUUAGGGAAAGCCUUAUAAAAUGAUUGGAAAUCUUAAACGGCAUUGGCAAAACGAGGAGGAGUGCCAUUCAUGUAUGCUGGUUUCAAUUAAUAAUUUGGCACUAGUAUAACUAAGGAUUUGUUUUGGACUACUGUUACCAUGGCCCUCGCAGCAUACUGAUUUGGCAAUUUCUCUUCUUUUAGAAUAAAUAAACACAAAGCACUUAAUGUAAGUAGAGAUAUCCUCAACAUGCAUUUGUGCAGGCAUCUGCCUUUUGUAUAGUGUCUUAUUCAUUGACUAUGAAUAGCCAAAUUGGCAUAGCUUCUUGAAUUGUAUUUAAACCUUUUAAUGUACUUUUGAAUUCAAACCCCAUAACUUUUGAUCUCUUUCUUGGUGCAGUUAUAUUGUUUUGAAG
rnacentral:misc_RNA from 1 species